rfam:Alligator_sinensis, whole genome shotgun sequence
CCAGGAAGCCUGUGAUGUCAUGGCCAUGAUGUCUGAACGUGGCUGAGGGACUCUGUGAACAUGUACCCAUUUGGCGCUGAGGCUUCCAGGAGG